GUUGUAUAGUCAAGUAAUUAAGUGCAUGUGGUGGAUGCCUUGGCAGUCAGAGGCGAUGAAAGACGUGAUAGCCUGCGAAAAGCUCCGGGGAGGCGGCAAAUAUCCUUUGAUCCGGAGAUGUCUGAAUGGGGGAACCCACCUACUUUAAGGUAGGUAUUGCAACAUGAAUACAUAGUGUUGCAAGGCGAACGAGGGGAAGUGAAACAUCUCAGUACCCUUAGGAAAAGAAAUCAAUUGAGAUUCCCUCAGUAGCGGCGAGCGAACGGGGAUCAGCCCAUUAAGUUAUGUGUGUUUUAGUGGAACGCUCUGGGAAGUGCGAACGUAGAGGGUGAUAUUCCCGUACACGAAAGGGCACACAUAAUGAUGACGAGUAGGGCGAGGCACGUGAAACCUUGUCUGAAUAUGGGGGGACCAUCCUCCAAGGCUAAAUACUCCUGACUGACCGAUAGUGAACCAGUACCGUGAGGGAAAGGCGAAAAGAACCCCUGUGAGGGGAGUGAAAUAGAUCCUGAAACCGCAUGCAUACAAGCAGUGGGAGCACCUUCGUGGUGUGACUGCGUACCUUUUGUAUAAUGGGUCAGCGACUUAUAUUCAGUAGCAAGGUUAACCGUAUAGGGGAGCCGUAGAGAAAUCGAGUCUUAAUAGGGCGUUUAGUUGCUGGGUAUAGACCCGAAACCAGGCGAUCUAUCCAUGAGCAGGUUGAAGGUUGGGUAACACUAACUGGAGGACCGAACCCACUGUCGUUGAAAAGCCAGGGGAUGACUUGUGGAUAGGGGUGAAAGGCUAAUCAAGCCUGGUGAUAGCUGGUUCUCCCCGAAAGCUAUUUAGGUAGCGCCUCGGACGAAUACCAUAGGGGGUAGAGCACUGUUUCGGCUAGGGGGUCAUCCCGACUUACCAAACCGAUGCAAACUCCGAAUACCUAUGAGUACUAUCCGGGAGACAGACUGCGGGUGCUAACGUCCGUAGUCAAGAGGAAAACAAUCCAGACCGCCAGCUAAGGCCCCAAAAUCAUAGUUAAGUGGGAAACGAUGUGGGAAGGCAUAGACAGCUAGGAGGUUGGCUUAGAAGCAGCCACCCUUUAAAGAAAGCGUAAUAGCUCACUAGUCGAGUCGGCCUGCGCGGAAGAUGUAACGGGGCUAAAACUAUGUGCCGAAGCUGCGGANNNNNNNAUGCUGGAGGUAUCAGAAGUGCGAAUGCUGACGUGAGUAACGACAAAACGGGUGAAAAACCCGUUCGCCGAAAGACCAAGGGUUCCAGUCCAACGUUAAUCGGGGCUGGGUGAGUCGACCCCUAAGGCGAGGCCGAAAGGCGUAGUCGAUGGGAAAAUGGUUAAUAUUCCAUUACUUCUGUGUAAUGCGAUGAGAGGACGGAGAAGGCUAAAUCAGCCUGGCGUUGGUUGUCCAGGUGAAAGGAUGUAGGCAUGUAUCUUAGGCAAAUCCGGGGUACUCUAUGCUGAGAUCUGAUAGCAAGCUGUACUUGUACAGCGAAGUGGUUGAUGCCAUGCUUCCAGGAAAAGUCUCUAAGCUUCAGUUACACAGGAAUCGUACCCGAAACCGACACAGGUGGUCAGGUCGAGUAGACCAAGGCGCUUGAGAGAACUCUGCUGAAGGAACUAGGCAAAAUGGUACCGUAACUUCGGGAGAAGGUACGCUGUUGUUGGUGAUGGAACUCGCUUCCUGAGCUGACGACAGCCGCAGAAACCAGGCCGCUGCAACUGUUUAUUAAAAACAUAGCACUCUGCAAACACGAAAGUGGACGUAUAGGGUGUGAUGCCUGCCCGGUGCUGGAAGGUUAAUUGAUGGGGUUAGCGUAAGCGAAGCUCUUGAUCGAAGCCCCAGUAAACGGCGGCCGUAACUAUAACGGUCCUAAGGUAGCGAAAUUCCUUGUCGGGUAAGUUCCGACCUGCACGAAUGGCAUAAUGAUGGCGGCGCUGUCUCCAGCAGAGGCUCAGUGAAAUCGAAAUCGCUGUGAAGAUGCAGUGUACCCGCGGCUAGACGGAAAGACCCCGUGAACCUUUACUGCAGCUUGACACUGAACUUUGACCUUACUUGUGUAGGAUAGGUGGGAGGCUUUGAAGCUGGAACGCUAGUUCCAGUGGAGCCGUCCUUGAAAUACCACCCUGGUAAUGUUGAGGUUCUAACUCUGUCCCGUGAUCCGGGACGAGGACCGUGUCUGGUGGGUAGUUUGACUGGGGCGGUCUCCUCCUAAAGAGUAACGGAGGAGUACGAAGGUGCGCUCAGCGUGGUCGGAAAUCACGCGUAGAGUAUAAAGGCAAAAGCGCGCUUAACUGCGAGACCCACAAGUCGAGCAGGUACGAAAGUAGGUCUUAGUGAUCCGGUGGUUCUGUAUGGAAGGGCCAUCGCUCAACGGAUAAAAGGUACUCUGGGGAUAACAGGCUGAUACCGCCCAAGAGUUCAUAUCGACGGCGGUGUUUGGCACCUCGAUGUCGGCUCAUCUCAUCCUGGGGCUGAAGCAGGUCCCAAGGGUAUGGCUGUUCGCCAUUUAAAGAGGUACGCGAGCUGGGUUUAGAACGUCGUGAGACAGUUCGGUCCCUAUCUACCGUGGGCGCUGGAAAUUUGAGAGGAUCUGCUCCUAGUACGAGAGGACCAGAGUGGACGAACCUCUGGUGUACCGGUUGUGACGCCAGUCGCAUCGCCGGGUAGCUAUGUUCGGAAGGGAUAACCGCUGAAAGCAUCUAAGCGGGAAGCCUACCUCAAGAUAAGAUUUCCCUAGGACUUUAUGUCCUCUAAAGAGCCGUUCGAGACUAGGACGUUGAUAGGUUGGAUGUGGAAGCAUAGUGAUAUGUGAAGCUGACCAAUACUAAUUGCUCGUGAGGCUUGACUAUACAACACCCAAGCAGUUG
rnacentral:rRNA from 1 species